rnacentral:rRNA from 1 species
GAUGAACGCUGGCGGCGUGCUUAACACAUGCAAGUCGAACGGAAAGGCUCCUGCUUGCAGGGGUACUCGAGUGGCGAACGGGUGAGUAACACGUGGGUGAUCUGCCCUGCACUUCGGGAUAAGCCUGGGAAACUGGGUCUAAUACCGGAUAGGACGAUGGUUUGGAUGCCAUUGUGGAAAGUUUUUCGGUGUGGGAUGAGCUCGCGGCCUAUCAGCUUGUUGGUGGGGUAAUGGCCUACCAAGGCGUCGACGGGUAGCCGGCCUGAGAGGGUGUACGGCCACAUUGGGACUCAGAUACGGCCCAGACUCCUACGGGAGGCAGCAGUGGGGAAUAUUGCACAAUGGGCGCAAGCCUGAUGCAGCGACGCCGCGUGGGGGAUGACGGCCUUCGGGUUGUAAACUCCUUUCGCUAGGGACGAAGCGCAAGUGACGGUACCUGGAGAAGAAGCACCGGCUAACUACGUG